UACGUAGGGGGCAAGCGUUGUCCGGAAUCAUUGGGCGUAAAGAGCGCGUAGGCGGCCCGAUAAGUCCGCUGUGAAAGUCAAGGGCUUAACCCUUGAAUGCCGGUGGAAACUGUCGGGCUAGAGUCCGGAAGAGGAGAGUGGAAUUCCGUGGUGUAGCGGUGAAAUGCGCAGAUAUCAGGAAGAACACCCGUGGCUAAGGCGGCUCUCUAGUACGGUACUGACGCUGAGACGCGAAAGCGUGGGGAGCGAUCCGG
rnacentral:rRNA from 1 species